rnacentral:rRNA from 1 species
GUCUACGGCCACACCACCCUGAACAUGCCCAAUCUCACCUGAUCUCAGAAGCUAAGCAGGGUCAGGCCUGGUUAGUACUUGGAUGGGAGAAAGGUCUUCAGAGGAGGCUGCUCAGACA